AGAGGUCACCGGUGCCGGUGGCUUCUACACGUGCGUAGUGAACUAAGGGCAUCAUGAUUUAGAGAUGGGGGCUCGCGUGACCCGCGCCUUAAGGAACUUCAACGUGGAGAAGCGAGCGGAGCGAGAGAUCAGCAAGAGGAAGCCCUCCAUGGCACCCAAGCACCCUUCUACCCGCGACCUCCUGCAGGAGCACCGGAGUCGUGAGUGCAGUCCCUCCCAGGCCUCCGGUGACAUUGAGGUCGUCCCCGCGCGGGCCCCGGGUGGUGGCGGCUGGAAGGAAUCCCGGAGCCCAAGGCAGCCCGCGCUCUCUCCCGGCGUCUGCGCAGGCUGCACGCAGACUCUCGUCCAAGUGUUUGCCCCAAGAUGUCCAGAUGAUUUUUUUUUUUAAUAUUGUACAUGUUUACGAGUUUAGAGAUUUUUUUCCUUAAAAAAAAAAAAAAAAGAUACUAUGGCUUAUUUUCUUUCCUUAGAGUAUCCAGAAAUCGAAGAAGUUGUUUCUAAAAAAGAUAACAAGCUGCUGUCAUUGCUAAGAGAUGUAUAUGUCGAUUCCAAAGAUCCGGUGCCUGCCUUGCCGGUAAAAGUUGAACCACGACAAGAACCAAAGGAAUUCAGACUGCCGAUAGGAAAUCACUUUGAUAAGAAUAUCACGGACAUUCCCAAAGACAGACAUACUUGCCUCGAGAUUCCACGGGAAAAGAUGUGGAAGAUGAGAAGAAUCCAGCGAUGAUGGAGGGAGGCAGAUGGAACAGCAAAGAUGGGAGGUGACUGGAGAGUUUGUCAGCUUCUUCAUAUCUAGUUCCAGUGAAGAAACUAUCCCUACUUAUAUGUGAUUCAAUACAGAAGUUUAAGGGAACCUACUAAUUCCAAUCAUUGCUGAUUAUGGUGGAAAGUGCCGUCAAAACCAUCCUCCAUUAAUUCAAAAUGAAUAUGUGAAUCAGCAGUACUGACUCAGGUUUCCUGGGUGGCUAGCAGAUGUAAAUAUGGUUUCUUAACUGGUAUCACACAAUAAAAUCCUUCCAUUUUGCACA
rnacentral:lncRNA from 1 species